rnacentral:tRNA from 1 species
AUUUAAAUAGUUUAAUUAAAAUUCUAAUUUGUGGAGUUAGAGAUGUUGAUCAGACCGACUUUAAAUU